rnacentral:rRNA from 1 species
CCUUGAUGACGACUGGCGCACGGGUGAGUAACGCGUAUCCAACCUUCCCAUAACUACGGGAUAACCCGUUGAAAGACGGCCUAAUACCGUAUGAUAUCGUUUGCUGACAUCAAAUAACGAUUAAAGGUUUAGCGGUUAUGGAUGGGGAUGCGUCUGAUUAGCUUGUUGGCGGGGUAACGGCCCACCAAGGCAACGAUCAGUAGGGGUUCUGAGAGGAAGGUCCCCCCACAUUGGAACUGAGACACGGUCCAAACUCCUACGGGAGGCAGCAGUC